UUUCCUUCCAAAGUAGCUCUCCCCUCUCAUUAUAGCUGUUGAAUUAGUCAUCAGCCAAUUCUUUUAAAAAUAAUGUAUAUAAUUAUAGUUGUCAACAUAGUUGGUUUAGUAUUGUGAAGAGGAUAGUUGCUUGGCUACCUAAGAACUAGUUUUAGAACUUAGAAAUGAGAAUCAUUAUUUAAUCAUGGUUCAUGUUGUGUGGCGAAUGCCGCAGACUGAUGUUUUUUCUUUUCUUUUCCAGUUAUAUAAAUAUAUUUAUUCAAUGGAUUUGAUUAUGUUGUGUUAUGCUUGUUUCACUUAAUUCCUCGGUUCUGUUGGUAUAUUCAAGUCCUUCAAAUCUUCAAUGAUAUUUUGGUUUAUAAUUACAUAUAUAUGUUAUUUAUCACAGGAUUCUGAUUCGAUGUCUUGUAAUUUAUAACUUUGAUGGCACAAAAAUUUGAAAUAGUCAUUGAAGAUCAAGCUGGAAAACAGUUCAAAUCUAGGAUCAAUUGAGGAAGCUGAAAUGACAAAUCAAUGGAUUGAUUUAUUUAGGGAUUUGAUAUAUGAAUACUUGAUUUGCUCGGCAUUUACGGGUACCUGGUCGCAUGUGCAAGAGCGAAGUGAUCGUUAUAUUUUUUUUAGCUUUCCUACUUUUAUGGUUGCAUGUGCAAAAGUGAAGUGGUCAUUAUAUUUUUUUAGCUUUCUUACUUUCAUUUCUACGGGUCAAGUGGAUAUGCUUUGAUUGCUUGUUGCUCCAGGUUAGGACUAAAAACUAAAAUAUUUUUUUAGCUUUCUUAUGUUUUGUGUCUACCUAAUUCAGCAUGCCUUGAAUUAUUUAGUACUUGGGUUACACAUUAUAUUAAAGAUUUUGUCUAUAGGUUUGAAGUAGGACACAUAAGAUUUUGCCUUUAAGUGAAACUAUUUACUACUUGGGUUUGCACUUUGCACACGUGUCAGUAUAAUACUAUAGUUCACUGUCCUACAUUUCCAUGUGUUAUAUUUGACUAGACAAAUACUUAUUCAAUUUCAUCAACUCCAAUUA